GUGCCAGGGCUGUGAGGUGGUCUUGUCGGGCAUUGAGGAGCAGGUCAGCCGGGCCAACCAGCACAAAGAGCAGCAGCUGGCACUGAAGCAGCAGAUUGAGAGUGAGGUGGCAAACCUGAAGAAGACCAUUAAAGUGACAACAGCAGCUGCUGCAGCAGCCACAUCCCAGGACCCAGAACAGCACCUAACAGAGCUUAGGGAGCCAGCCCCUGGCACCAACCAGCGCCAGGCCAGCAAGAAAACUUCCAAAGCCAAAGGGCUCCGGGGCAGCGCGAAGAUCUGGUCCAAAUCAAACUAGUUGGAUCUCCCUUCACAACUGGGAGGGUGAGAGGAAGAGAUCUGGGAGAUGGAGGGGUAGCCAGGGUCCCAAGUGUGAUGCUUCUGAGCUCUUCUCCAAGAUCUAUCUUGCCAACUAAUUCACCUGCAUGUUUGUUCUCUUUCCUGUCUUUACCAACUGUCCAGGCAGUGCCUCCCUCUUGGUGACAUCAUUUCACACUUCCAGCUGUUUGCCUUGCUGUUUCUCCUCCCCCUCCAGCCCCUACGGCCCAGUGCUCCUCUCUUUCUCUCUCCCUGUCUCUUGGCAGGUCAAUUUAAAAGAGCCAUAAAACUGUGUUGGUCACCUUGGCACCUGGAGGGCAUCACAGGAGCUUGGAAAAGAGGCUGCUGGUGCUCAGCAAUCAUUUUGGCUCUCUGAGACCCUGGGGUACUUUGCUCUGGGGUGCAGCUGCCAUCUUGGAUUGUUUAAUCUUUGUUUUGCUAGGUGGGAGGGUAGUUUUUGAAGGGAUUCUUUUAAAGAUAUAUAAAUAUAUUAUAAAUAUAUAUAAAACAAUAAUAAAAAAUAUAGAUCUAUGGACAUAUCU